UCAUUUUUCUUGCCCCCGUGAGUUUCGUUUAUUCGUUUUUCCCUUCAUCUUCUCUUUUGCUCUCCUUCCUCCUCCCCCUUCUUCUUCCUCCGAAUUCGAGCGGAGGACAGAGGCGGCGGCGACCGUGUGGAUGGGGCUUAGCAGGCGGCGGCAUCGACGGGACGGGGAGGGAUCGAGGAGUCGGCUCGCCACCUCGCAUUCGCGACCUUCAAAUGCAAGCUAUGAGUAAAUUUCCUAGAAACAUGCACCUGGGGAGAACAUUGAUGAGGUUCCUUGUUCAAAUUUCUACUGUCUACUACUGCUUAAAAGUUAAAACCUUCAGUAGUGAAACGGAGGAGAUCUCAGGGAAUGGCUGAAGUUGCAUUGGACCAAUCUUGGUCCGACAAGCCUCCAAGACAAACUUGGAUUCAAUUUCGUUCUGGCAGAUCGGUAUGAAUGCCAUCCUCGCAAGCAUUGCGCAAGUUGAUAGUGGUGAUAUUCUUGAAAAGAAAAAAUCGAUAGUGGUAAUGAGAAAAGCACAGGAGGAGGACAAGAGGACAAGUGAGGCGGCAAGCUAAGAAGACGGUGGCUUGGCGUGCUUGGCGUAAUCUAACUUGAUUACCAGGCAGAGGCAGACAAACACAGCUGGAUUCUAGCUCGAUGGAAGAUGUUCCUGCCACAUGUGCAUGCAUUCAUGCUGGCUUAAGGAAAUUAUUCAGGGAGACAUGAUGCCCAAGCAAGAAGAUCGAGGGCAGGGCUGCUCCAGAUGAGAUCAUCAGCCGCAGCUACACCUCUACCUCUGCUUCUUGUUUUCCUCUACCUGUAGGCUGUAGCAACAACAAGUUUUCCUCUACCCCUCUGCUUCUUGUUUAGCAACAACAAUAGUACUACUGCUCUGCUUCCUGUGUGUCAUCUGCAUCAAUGAUCUGUGAUGAUCUAUUGGAUGUAUCUCAGUAUCUGUGCUUAUAGCUUUCCACCAUCGAAUCGAACAUGCACGACUCAUUUUCUGGUAUUUCUCAGUCAAAUUUCUUUAAAUUUGAUCAAAUUUAUAAAAGAAAAACAUAGCAAUAUUUUCAGUACAAAACAAACAUACUAUGAGAAUGUAUUAUAUUUAUUUGAUGUUAGAUUUAAUAAAAUUAAUAUGAUAUUGUAGAUGUAUUAGUACUA